UCCACCAAAACUACAACGUAACAGAAGCCGAUGUGUGUGCACAGUGACACGCGUGAUUGGUUAGAGUCAGGMUGAAAAUAUAUUUGGCUGAGAUCUGGCCAGAAACAGAAAUCGAGUGGUAUGCAAAAGUCAAUCGCGUUCCAGGUGAACAUAGCAUCAAACUGCUGGACGAGCAUCGGUGCCAAUAUCUCCUGCCAGGACACCGGCUAUAGAUGGUCGAUUUCAGCUAAAGAGCUCCUGUCCGUCAGUCUCAGAUGGAGCCCUGCCAGACAACAAAGGUGUUCGCUACAAAACCCAGCUGUGUAAAUUGUUAAUUUUCAAUCAGUAAACAAAAAACCCGAGUCAUCGGCUGAAGCAAAUAUGAUAAUUGUUUGCGGAUUACGGAGAUCUGGCAGGCAACUCAACAGAGGCUGUGAGUAAACGGGAAGAAAGCUCAGCUCAAACAAAUGCACUUACUCAGCCAGUCAAGCAGAAUCCUCUGGGGAAUAAGAUGCUGGUGGGCACAGGAGGGUCUCUGCUGCAAAGGUUGCUUCAGUCAUUAAAACACACUCGAACAUCUAAAAAUAACAAGGUUUACUUCAGACGCCUGAAAAUAAGAGAAAAAUAAACAAAUGUUGAAAAGCCUUAAUGGUUAACAAUAGUGACCAGUUUAAAACACCUGACAAUGUGAUGCAGAAAAAAAGAUGUGGACCUGAAGCUGUGUUAAAACAAUAUGAUG